rnacentral:rRNA from 1 species
AUUGAACGCUGGCGGCAUGCUUUACACAUGCAAGUCGAACGGCAGCGCGGGCUUCGGCCUGGCGGCGAGUGGCGAACGGGUGAGUAAUACAUCGGAACGUGCCCAGUAGUGGGGGAUAGCUCGGCGAAAGCCGGAUUAAUACCGCAUACGACCUGAGGGUGAAAGCGGAGGAUCUUCGGACCUCGCGCUAUUGGAGCGGCCGAUGGCAGAUUAGCUAGUUGGUGGGGUAAAGGUCUACCAAGGCGACGAUCUGUAGCUGGUCUGAGAGGACGACCAGCCACACUGGGACUGAGACACGGCCCAGACUCCUACGGGAGGCAGCAGUGGGGAAUUUUGGACAAUGGGCGAAAGCCUGAUCCAGCAAUGCCGCGUGUGUGAUGAAGGCCUUCGGGUUGUAAAGCACUUUUGGCGGGAACGAAAAGGACUGUGCCAAUACCACGGUUCGAUGACGGUACCCGCAGAAUAAGCACCGGCUAACUACGUG